rnacentral:lncRNA from 1 species
NGUUAUUGUCAUGGGGGACUCCCUUUUGAAAGGGACAGGGGGCCCAAUAUGCCGACCGGACCCUACCCACAGGGAAGUCUGUUGCCUCCCUGGGGCUCGGGUGAGAGACUUCGCUAGGAAAGUCAAGCGCCUGGUACGGCCCACCGACUACUACCUGCUACUGGUCUUUCAGGCUGGUAAUGACGAGGUAGCGACGAGAAGUCCAAGAGUGAUCAAAAGGGACUUUAGGGCUUUGGGGCGACUACUUAAAGGGUCAGGGGCACAGGUUGUGCUUGCCUCUGUCCUUCCGAUAGGAGGGAUCGAAGCUGACAAGCAGACUUGUCACAUUAACAUGUGGCUUCGGGACUGGUGCAACUGGCAGAAUUUUGGGUUUUUGGAUCACAGGAAGGUCUAUGCGACCCCGGGCCUGCUGGCACCAGAUGGGAUGCACCUCUCUCAGAGAGGGGUGAGGAUUUUUGCUCAGGAGUUGGCUGGGCUGAUAGAUAGGGCUUUAAACUAGAGUUGAAGGGGGAAGGGGAUAGAACCAAGCAUGCCGGUGACGAGCUAAGGGAUGGUGUGCUAGAAUCAGAGGGACUGUGUCCUAGUGAGGCCCUUCGGUCGGAUGCACAAGGUGCUGCAUGUAGGGAGGCGCAUUUGAAAUGCUUCUACACAAAUGCAGGCAGUAUGAGGAAUAAAAUGGAUGAGCUAGAAGUCUUGUCCCAGUCCCACAGCUAUGACAUCAUUGGCAUAAGUGAAACCUGGUGGGAUGAGUCCUGUGGCUGGUGUGUUGCAAUAGAUGGUUACAGGCUCUUCAGGAGGGACAGACAGGGUAGGCAAGGUGGUGGGGUGGCGAUGUAUGUGAAGAAUGGGCUGGACUGUGUGGAACUUCAAGUUGGGGAUGGCAAAGUUGAGAGCCUCUGGGUAAGGAUUAAGGGACGAACAAAUAGAGGGGAUGUCGUUGUGGGAGUCUAUUACAGACCACCUGGCCAGGACAACAACGCCAAUGAAUUAUUCUUUGCAGAACUAAGAGAUGCCUCGAGAUCAACUUCCCUCGUCCUAAUGGGGGAUUUUAACUUGCCAGAUGUCAACUGGGAUCACCACACGGCUGACACGAGCAAGUCCAGGAGGUUCAUAAAGCACCUAGAUGAUAACUUCUUGGUGCAGGUGCUAAGUGAGCCAACUAGGAAAGGUGUCCUCCUAGAUCUGUUGCUGGAGAACAGAGAGGGUCUUGUGGGAGACGUGGCAAUUGGCGGCCGUCUCGGUCAUAGUGACCAUGAAGUGGUUGAGUUUAGAAUUUAUGGUGACAGAAGGAAAACAGCCACCAAAACUUCAGCCCUGGAUAUGGGGAAAGCAGACUUCAGGCUGCUCAGGGAAUUAGUCAGCAAGGUCCCCUGGGAAACUGCUUUUGAAGGCAUUGGUGUCCAUCAGUGCUGGUCCAUCUUUAAGCACUGCCUCCUAAAAGCUCAAGAUCAGACGAUUCCAAAAUAUCGGAAGUCAGGCAAGUGGGGCAGAAGGCCGGCCUGGCUGACCAGGGAUCUUCUACUGGAGCUAAGGCAAAAAAAAAAAAAGUGUACGGCUGCUGGAAGGAGGGUCAGGCGACGAGGAAGGAAUACAGGGAUGCUGUUCGUGUUUGUAGGGAGAAAAAUCGUGUGGCCAAAGCCCAGCUUUUUAGAGUUAAAGCUGGCCAUGUCUGUGGGAGACAAUAAAAAAGGUUUUUUUAGAUAUGUGAACAGAAAAAGGAGAACCAAAGAAAGCAUAGGUCCGCUACUAGAUGGGGAGGGUCUCCUCACAGACAAUGACAUAGGCAAAGCAGAGACGUUUAAUGCCUUCUUCGCCUCUGUCUUCAACGCUGAUGAUGGGCUUCAGGACCCAGGGUGCCCUGAGCUGGAGGACCACGACGGUGGGAAUGACAAACUCCCAACCGACCCUGAAUCUGUGCAGGAUUUGCUGCUCCACCUGGAUCCAUACAAGUCCAUGGGUCCGGACGGGAUUCAUCCCAGGGUGCUUAAAGAGCUGGCAGACGUCAUCGCGGGACCUCUCUCAAUUAUUUUUCAACGAUCUUGGGAAUCUGGUGAGGUCCCAUUGGACUGGAAGCUGGCAAAUGUUGUGCCAAUUUUCAAGAAGGGUAAGAAAGAAGACCCUAGCAAUUACA